rnacentral:rRNA from 1 species
UACAGAGGUCCCAAGCGUUGUUCGGAUUCACUGGGCGUAAAGGGUGCGUAGGCGGUCGGGUAAGUCUGAUGUGAAAUCUCACAGCUUAACUGUGAAACUGCAUUGGAUACUAUCCGGCUCGAGGAAUGGAGGGGAGACUGGAAUACUUGGUGUAGCAGUGAAAUGCGUAGAUAUCAAGUGGAACACCAGUGGCGAAGGCGAGUCUCUGGACCGGUACUGACGCUGAAGCGCGAAAGCGUGGGGAGCAAACGGG